UACAGAGGUCUCAAGCGUUGUUCGGAUUCAUUGGGCGUAAAGGGUGCGUAGGCGGCGCGGUAAGUCGGGUGUGAAAUCUCGGGGCUUAACUCCGAAACUGCAUUCGAUACUGGCGUGCUUGAGGACUGGAGAGGAGACUGGAAUUCAUGGUGUAGCAGUGAAAUGCGUAGAGAUCAUGAGGAAGACCAGUGGCGAAGGCGGGUCUCUGGACAGUUCCUGACACUGAGACACGAAGGCUAGGGGAGCAAACGGG
rnacentral:rRNA from 1 species